CCCUUUUUGUUUUAAACUCCAGGAUGAGAAUUAUUGAAUUUCCUGAGUUGCUUUGCAUUUCUGGAUUCCUAACUCUGAACUUUUGAUUUUUUUUCCCCCACAGAGCUGAGAAAACAGAAGUCCUCAGUGAAGAUCUGUUACAGAUCGAGCGGCGCCUGGACACGGUUCGGUCAAUGUGCCACCAUUCGCACAAGCGUGUGAUGGCAUGUUUCCAGGGCCAGCAUGGCACCGACACUGAAAGAAGAUAC